rnacentral:rRNA from 1 species
AUGGCUCAGAUUGAACGCUGGCGGCAGGCCUAACACAUGCAAGUCGAGCGGAU